UUGCCUUGCUACAGACCCCAAGGCCAGAUCCAGAAGGGAGUAUGACUGGGAUCAUGAAAGCAUGGACCUUGGAACACCGGGUUGGCGUCAGGUAUGAACGCUGCCCACGCACUUGCUGAUUGUUCCCGAGACUGUCCCAGGAGGGAACGGCCUGGGGUAAAAACAAGGCGAUCUGGACUGUGUCAGUGCAGUGUCUUGGGAAAGAUGGAUCUAAGAGUUUUGUAGUCUGCAGUCAGGAAUAAAAGCUGGACGCAGAGUGGACUCUGCACCUCAGUCCAAUAGAGGCUGCAGGUCCCCUGAUCCGUUGCACCAGAUUUUUCAUGUUCUCUUUUCAUUCUCGUCACUCACUCCUGGACCUUUAGGGCAACAAUUGUCUGGAGCCCAACAUUGGGCUGGAGCGCAAGACUGCUACAAGCGAAAGUGAAAAUACAGCGACGCAGAACCUGGGACGGUUAAGAGGCCUCUGAAAAUUCCCACUGACCCCAAGACCAGACCCAGAAGGGAGUAUGACUGGGAUCACGAAAGCAUGGACCUUGGAACACCGGGUCGGCGUUAGCCAUGAACACUCUCUACACACUUGCUGAUUGUUCCUGAGACUUUCCCAGAAGGGAACGGCUUGGGGUAAAAACAAGAUCUGGACUGUGUCAGUGUAGUGUCUUGGGAAAGAUAGAUCAAAGAGAGUUUUAUAGUCUGCAGUCAGGAAUGAAAGCUGGACGCAGAGUGGACUCCACCUCAGUCCAAUAGAGCCUGCAGGUCCCUGAUCCGUUGCAUCAGAUUUCGUGUUCUGUUUUCAUUCUCGUCUCUCACUCCUGGACCUUUAGGGCAACAUACUACUACUUGGAGAAAUAAACUUAACAAGAAAGUUAAAGAUA